GGAACUGUGGGUGCCCUGUGUGUCCUCUGAGGGAGGCUCCUCGGUGGCCCUGCCAGUGGCUCCAGCUGUGGAGGGCUUGCUCUUCCCUACAUUCAGGGUCAGACGUUUUGAACGCAUCAACUCUCUUAAUCAGCAUGACACCGUUUUGAGGCAGGAAUAAGCACCAUCCUUCUUUCCAGAUAUAAACGGAAGAUCUGGUUCAAUCCUCUUGCUUCAUAAAUGAGAAAACGCGAGCCUGGAGAUAUUCCAUGACCCAGUUUAAGAAUCGGCUUCCCUGGCAGGCUUCUCAAGUCUUCUCUCCUUGUGGGCUAAAGAGAUGCCCUUCCUCUAGCAUAGAACCUGGUGACAGAACCAGAUUCUGAACUACAUAUGGAAGGAAGCCAGUCCUCUCUGCCUCCCAGGGGACUCUAACCAACAAGUACAUCCCCAGAACCUUCUGCUUCCAUCUUCUUGGCUAAAACUACAUCACAUGACGACCGCCAUCUUCAAGGGAGACUGGAGAAGACACUACAGUUGUUCCUUGGUACUGUGGGGGAUGGGUUUCAAGGUCCCCUUCAGAGAAUAAAAUCUACAGCUGCUUAAGGCCAUCCUAAAGUCCAUGCACAGCAGUUGCGUGGAUUCUACGAAUGUGCCCACGUGUAUUUUACAUUAG
rnacentral:lncRNA from 1 species